rnacentral:rRNA from 1 species
AGAAUCAACGCUGGCGGCGUGCCUAACACAUGCAAGUCGAACGAGAACGGGUAGCAAUACCUUAGUAAAGUGGCGCACGGGUGAGUAACACGUGACUAACCUACCCUGGAGUGGGGGAUAACUGAGAGAAAUCUUAGCUAAUACCGCAUAACACCUACGGGUCAAAGGAGCAAUUCGCUUCAGGAGGGGGUCGCGGCAGAUUAGAUAGUUGGCGGGGUAAUGGCCCACCAAGUCAGUGAUCUGUA